rfam:Ictidomys tridecemlineatus contig066692, whole genome shotgun sequence.
UUUCUAUGAUGACCCAAACUAGCUCACUAUGAUUGACAAUGAAAAUAUAUGAACACCUGAGAAAC